rnacentral:tRNA from 1 species
GUCCCCAUAGCUUAAUGGAUAAAGCCCUGACCUUCUAAGUCAGUGAUGGAGGUUCGAUUCCUCCUGGGGACA